GAUGAAGAACGCAGCGAAAUGCGAUAAGUAGUGUGAAUUGCAGAAUUCAGUGAAUCAUCGAAUCUUUGAACGCACAUUGCGCCCCCUGGUAUUCCGGGGGGCAUGCCUGUUCGAGCGUCAUUUCACCACUCAAGCCUCGCUUGGUAUUGGGCAUCGCGGUCCGCCGCGUGCCUCAAAUCGACCGGCUGGGUCUUCUGUCCCCUAAGCGUUGUGGAAACUAUUCGCUAAAGGGUGUUCGGGAGGCUACGCCGUAAAACAACCCCAUUUCUAAGGUUGACCUCGGAUCAGGUAGGGAUACCCGCUGAACUUAAGCAUAUCAAUAAGCGGAGGA
rnacentral:misc_RNA from 1 species